rnacentral:snoRNA from 1 species
CCUGCCACUGUCCUUGUGUGGUAACACAGGGACUGGCACAGUCCAGAGGCAGCUGACAGAAAAUGCCAACUUAGGAAACAGAGUUAUUCUCCUGGUGGGUAACUUUGUGCCGAAGUGUGGGAACAGGC